ACAAUUUUUUACUAUGCUUAAUUACUUUGCUCAUCUAGAACGUGAGUAAUGUAAUUAGGCGGUCGGCAUUUCAGCAUUCAGCAAGUGCUGAAUACAAACAGGUUUUGACGUUUUGUUUGAAGCUUAAUUUGGCAUGUCGUUGCAUGUUCAUUUUUUUGUUUGAAUAUUUCAAUUGCAAAAUUUAACUUCUGUGAACCGAGUUGAAAUUUCAAUUUAAUUUGUGUUUUGUGUUUGAAGAGAUCGGAUGGUUUCUUUAAUAUAAUUUGAAGAAAAAGAUAUAUACAUAAAUUAAAGUGUUUGUAUUAUUUUCUUAGGUCUACAAAUACUUAAGAAAUUGUGUAAAUUAGUUAAAAUAAAAACAAUUUACUACACCGGUUGUGCAUCGUUUGGAUGCAAAAAAAAUAAUAAGUUAACGAUUUUUUUUAAUUUUUCAAUUUAAAAACACGAACAAAAUAUUUAAAAAAUUUUGUUAAAAACUUGAACAAAAAAUUUUUAAAUAUAAUGGUGCCGGUAAUCUACAGAAAAUUAUUCAAAAUUGCAAUUUCUCGAACUAAAUCAUGUUUUCCAAAAGAAUAUCCUUUAAAACAGAAUUUGCAAUACAUUGGCCAAGAAUUUUAUUCAAAAAGCUGAUGAAUUUCGAAUAAUAAUUAUUGUUUUUGGCACGAUGCAUAUUAUUUCGAUUAAAAAAUUCAACGAUCGAUUUUGCAAAAAAUUCAUGCAAUGCAAUGCCUUUGAAGGUCCAUUCCAAAAAUACAGAUAUAUAAAAAGGAGCGAUCGCUAAUAAAACUCCUGCAGAACAGGUUUCGCCGGUUAGUCUUGAAAAUACCAAUUUACUUAAAAAAACGAACGUUAAUUCAUUAAUUUAUGAUUGCAAUUCAAUAAAAUUGUCUAUCCAAAUAAAACGCGGGAUUUCCAUAUAGAAAUCAAAUCAACCUGGAUGUUGGCAGGAUAAAAGGUUACAUCUUCAAACCACACAUUAAGAAAUAUAAUUUCAUCUUCUGGCCGACCAGGCGGCUAUGGUGAUGUUAUGAAUGGAAAACAAUUCUAUUGAAAAUUAUGUGAACAAAAUCAUUUGAAAAUUGAAAUUGAAAUCUUCAAAGCGACAACAGACAAACAAUUAAAAUCUUCAAAGCAGACAUACAGAAAUAUAAUUCAUCAUUCGACGACAUUUCGAAGAAUGUGAAGCACUUCAAUCGAUGAUUCUAUGAUCUUGAAUUACAAAAAACAAAAUACCCGGAUACAUACCUCAUUGAAAAAAUACUUAAAAAGAAAAAAGAUCAAUAUUACGUCAAAUGGCUUGGUUUCUCAUCUGAACAUAAUUCGUGGAUAACUCUACCAUAAGACAACUUAUUAGCUGUGUUUAUUUUUAGCAUUGCUAUCCGUAUCCUUAGUUGGCGUUUUCAUACAUUACACAUAUUUCUGAAAAUAAUAAAUGGCAGUUUUAAAUUGAACUGGAAGAGUCUACAAAACCUAAAGGAACCAUGGAGAAGGAAGACGUUGUUGAUGAAAAGAAAGUCGAAAAAAUAAAAAAAAAAAAAACCCAAGCGAAAAUGAAAAACA